CAAACCUGUACGCUUUCCUUUCAUUCGUGGCACACAACAGGAGGUUUAGUGUUCUCCUUUUGUUUGUGUAGGCGCCCCAUAAACCUAAUGCCUGUUUCUCACUUAUGGGCUCUCUUCCAAAACCUGGUGCGCUGCCCACAUACUCCUGAUCCUGCUAAAGUUUGUGUGUAUGAUGCUGCAGUCUUGUCUCUGUAGAGCAAAGAGCAGCAUGAACAUUGUUGAACAGUGUUUCACUGAAGAACAUCAAGAAGGGCAUAAUGGGAGUUAAUCAAAUUUCCCGACUGUGGUUUCUACUGUGAUUGGUGUUGGCGUGGAGCAGACCUCGGGCGAUCCUUCAUUAUGAAAGUUCAGUGUCAUCAAACACUCUGGGUUUGGGUCAGAAGUUUCUCAGGUUUAAUUCGACACCGCAGAUGGAAGUCUGAGAGUCUGUAAUUGACAGUACAGAAAUAAAUGAACUUGAAAUGACUUAAUCUGUUAGCAAGAUGAUUUUUACCUUUUUCAAAGCUUCAUAAAAUAUGCUUUCACGCUGUGUUAUUGUUAGUAUUAUUUUCAACACUUUACAGUAAGGUUUAUUUUGGGAAAAUUAGCUACAUGUACAUUAAUUAACAUCAACUAACAAUGAAGACUACCAUCAUUAACAUUCAGCUCGUUAAGUUAAGUUACCUGCAGGAUUUGUUCACUAAUGGUCAGAAAAGAAGGUGAUUACUAAAAAUAGCAAUUCAAUGCUGUAUUAUAUUGUAUUAUUGUUAGUACAGUACUUUCAUUUUAGUUCACUACAUAUGUUUCCCUGAACUAAAAAAAAUGUGUUAAAAAUAGAUUGUUAGCUAAUGUUAAUAAUAAGUACCCUGAAUGCAGUGUAA
ensembl:lncRNA